CCCUUAGAUGUUCUGGGCCGCACGCGUGCUACACUGAGUGGAUCAGCGGGUCAGGUUGCGCGAAAGUGUUUCCUAAUCUUUAAAUCCGCUCGUGAUGGGGAUUGACGGUUGCAAUUUUCCGUCAUGAACGAGGAAUACCUUGUAAGCGCGGGUCAUCAUCCCGCGCUGAAUACGUCCCUGCCCUUUGUACACACCGCCCGUCGCUCCUACCGAUUGAGUGAUCCGGUGAGGCUUUGGGAUCUGGGCGGAAAGAGCGUUUCGCUGUUUCUGCCCGGAAAACUCAGUCGAACCUUAUCAUUUAGAGGAAGGAGAAGUCGUAACA
rnacentral:rRNA from 1 species